rnacentral:rRNA from 1 species
UACGUAGGGUGCAAGCAUUAAUCGGAUUUAUUGGGCGUAAAGGGCGCGUAGGCGGGAUGAUAAGUCAGAUGUGAAAGCCCGGGGCUCAACCCCGGAACUGCAUUUGAAACUGUCAGACUAGAGGGUAGGAGGAGAAAAUGGAAUUCCACAAGUAGCGGUGAAAUGCGUAGAUAUGUGGAAGAACACCAGUGGCGAAGGCGGUUUUCUAGAUUAUACCUGACGCUGAGGCGCGAAAGCAAGGGGAGCAAACAGG